GCCCCCGUCGUCUAGCCCGGUCAAGGAUGACGGCCUUUCGAGCCGUCGGCAUGGGUUCAAAUCCCGUCGGGGGCA
rnacentral:tRNA from 1 species